UACGUAGGGGGCAAGCGUUGUCCGGAAUCAUUGGGCGUAAAGCGCGUGUAGGCGGCUCGGUAAGUCUGCUGUGAAAGUCCAGGGCUCAACCCUGGGAUGCCGGUGGAUACUGUCGAGCUCGAGUCCGGAAGAGGCGAGUGGAAUUCCUGGUGUAGCGGUGAAAUGCGCAGGAUAUCAAGGAGGAACACCAAUGGCGAAGGCAGCUCGCUGGGACGUGACUGACGCUGAGACGCGAAAGCGUGGGGAGCAAACAGG
rnacentral:rRNA from 1 species